GAUGAAGAACGCAGCGAAAUGCGAUAAGUAAUGCGAAUUGCAGAAUUUCCGUGAGUCAUCGAAUCUUUGAACGCACAUUGCGCCCAUUAGCAUUCUAGUGGGCAUGCCUGUUCGAGCGUCAUUUCAACCCUUAAGCCCUGUUGCUUAGCGUUGGGAGCCUACAGUACUGUAGCUCCCCAAAGUUAGUGGCGGAGUCGGUUUCACACUCUAGACGUAGUAAUUUUUUCUCGUCUGUAGUUGAGCCGGUCCCCUGCCGUAAAACACCCAAUUUAUCAAGGUUGACCUCGGAUCAGGUAGGAAUACCCGCUGAACUUAAGCAUAUCAAUAAGCGGAGGA
rnacentral:misc_RNA from 1 species